rnacentral:tRNA from 1 species
AGUAGCGCAAUGGUAGCGCAGCGGACUGUUAAUCCGUGUGUUGCUGGUUCGAGUCCAGCCU